rnacentral:rRNA from 1 species
AGAGUUUGAUCCUGGCUCAGGACGAACGCUGGCGGCGUGCUUAACACAUGCAAGUCGAACGAAGAGCGACGGAAGCUUGCUUCUAUCAAUCUUAGUGGCGAACGGGUGAGUAACGCGUAAUCAACCUGCCCUUCAGAGGGGGACAACAGUUGGAAACGACUGCUAAUACCGCAUACGAUCUAAUCUCGGCAUCGAGGAUGGAUGAAAGGUGGCCUCUACAUGUAAGCUAUCACUGAAGGAGGGGAUUGCGUCUGAUUAGCUAGUUGGAGGGGUAACGGCCCACCAAGGCGAUGAUCAGUAGCCGGUCUGAGAGGAUGAACGGCCACAUUGGGACUGAGACACGGCCCAGACUCCUACGGGAGGCAGCAGUGGGGAAUCUUCCGCAAUGGACGAAAGUCUGACGGAGCAACGCCGCGUGAGUGAUGACGGCCUUCGGGUUGUAAAGCUCUGUUAAUCGGGACGAAAGGCCUUCUUGCGAAUAGUGAGAAGGAUUGACGGUACCGGAAUAGAAAGCCACGGCUAACUACGUGCCAGCAGCCGCGGU